GCUCAUGACCAACAAGCGAAUCAAUGAGACCACUUCCCUUCGACGAAAGUGCGUCGACAAUAUGAUAAAAUAUAUUGAAGACGAUACUGCAGCAGCACAUGCACGAGGAGAAUCAGGGGAGUUGAUGGUAGCUCACUACACAUUUGUCAUGGCAUUCAACCUGAUAGGCAAUCUUAUGAUCUCACAGGAUCUCCUGAAUUCUCAAUCAAAAGAAGGGUUCGUGUUCCUUGAUUCCAUGAAGAAGGCUAUGGAGUUGGCUGGGGAGCCAAACAUAGCUGACUUCUUUCCAUUUUUGGAAGGGUUGGACCCUCAGAGGAUAAAGAGGAAGAUGGAGCAAGAAAUGGGAAGAACUUUGAAUAUAGUGGAAGGAUUUGUGAAGGAGAGAAUUGAAGAGAGAAAAUUAGGAAAAGAAAGGGAGAAGAAGGACUUUCUUGAUGCGCUAUUGGAAUACGAAGGUGAUGGAAAAGGACCUGAUAAAAUCUCAACGGAAAGCAUAUUCAUAAUCAUAUUGGAGAUGUUCUUUGGUGGGACAGAAACUACAAGCGGCACUAUUGAGUGGGCCAUGGCUGAGCUGCUCUGCAGUCCAAAUUCAAUGAAAAGAGUUAAAGAAGAACUUAAUCAAGUUGUGGGACCAAAACGGAAGGUAGAGGAGAGUGACAUAGACGAAUUGCCAUACUUGCAGGCGGUAAUCAAAGAAACAAUGAGGUUACAUCCUAUAGUUCCAUUAUUAGUUCCACGAAAAUCUUUAGAAGACACAAACUUUAUGGGAUACGUCAUACCUAAAGAUACUCAAGUUUUUGUGAACGCAUGGGCAAUAGGAAGAGACCCAGA
rnacentral:misc_RNA from 1 species